rnacentral:rRNA from 1 species
GAUUAAGCAUAUCAAUAAGCGGAGGAAAAGAAACCAACAGGGAUUGCCCUAGUAACGGCGAGUGAAGCGGCAACAGCUCAAAUUUGAAAUCUGGCGCAAGCCCGAGUUGUAAUUUGUAGAGGAUGCUUCUGGCCAGCGGCCGUUCUAAGUUCCUUGGAACAGGACGUCAUAGAGGGUGAGAAUCCCGUAUGUGACCGGCGCGCAGCCUUUACGUAGCUCCUUCGACGAGUCGAGUUGUUUGGGAAUGCAGCUCUAAAUGGGAGGUAAAUUUCUUCUAAAGCUAAAUACCGGCCAGAGACCGAUAGCGCACAAGUAGAGUGAUCGAAAGAUGAAAAGCACUUUGGAAAGAGAGUUAAAAAGCACGUGAAAUUGUUGAAAGGGAAGCGCUUGCAACCAGACUUCGUAGCGAUGUUCCGCUGGUCUUUUGACCGGUCUACUCAUCGUCGCGAGGCCAACAUCGUCUGGGCCCGCUGGAUAAGACCUAAGGAAUGUAGCUUCCCUCGGGAAGUGUUAUAGCCUGUGGUGAUGCAGCGCGGCUCGGGCGAGGUCCGCGCUUCGGCAAGGAUGUUGGCGUAAUGGUUGUCAGCGGCCCGUCUUGAAACACGGACCAAGGAGUCUAACAUCUAUGCGAGUGUUCGGGUGUCAAACCCCUACGCGUAAUGAAAGUGAACGGAGGUGGGAAGCGCAAGCUGCACCAUCGACCGAUCCUGAUGUCCUCGGAUGGAUUUGAGUAAGAGCAUAGCUGUUGGGACCCGAAAGAUGGUGAACUAUGCCUGAAUAGGGUGAAGCCAGAGGAAACUCUGGUGGAGGCUCGCAGCGGUUCUGACGUGCAAAUCGAUCGUCAAAUUUGGGUAUAGGGGCGAAAGACUAAUCGAAACCAUCUAGUAGCUGGGUUCCUGCCGAAG